GGUAAGACAACAAUUGUGCUAAGAAAAAAUGGUGACGACACCAGCGUCAUUAGCCCUACACUUUGGCUUCAGGAUCAAGACCAUCAAGUACCACAAGUUCUCUUUGAACAUAUGGGAUGUGGGUGGACAGAAGACAAUCCGAUCGUAAUUGAGCAGGCUGGCUGCCUGGUUUGGGUGAUUGAUAGUUCUGAUAUCCGAAUGCUGAGCUCCACAGUCUGUUUAAAGAAGAGUUGCAAGUGA
rnacentral:lncRNA from 2 species